ACGCCUGGGGGUGGGGCUCGAGCGGGCUCUUGUCCCGGGCGGCCCCGCGGAUCGGUGGGUGGAGAAUUAGUUCGGCGGAUGGUCGCAGCGGGGUUGCGGUGAAUAGGUCUUCGUGCAGGUGGGGUCGGUCACAGGUCGUGUCCCUUAGGGGUCCGUCCCGGGACAGUGCUCUUCAGCAUCUUUAUCGCUGUAGUAGUGGAUUGCUUCUGUUGUGAUCCAAGUGAAAUUGUAAUUCUGAGUAUUUGGUAACAUCAUUUGUAGGAAUAAAAAAAACCAAAACAAAUCAACUUAGAGAUUUGCAACUGUUUGCUCAGGUGCGAACCCCAGAACGCAAGAGAUGAAAUCAGAAGGCCUAGUCUGCUGGGCGCUCACCUCUGCCAAGGGCUCCUCCUGAAGCUCUGCUGCUGAGUGCCAGGAGACAACCAGCAUUGAAUAAAUCUGAGCUUCUGUUAAAUGAAAGUCCCACAAUUUCAGAACACUGGAAAUUUGGACAAGCCUUCAGAAGCAGCUAUGAGAAAGCUGCAGAAUGCAAAGGUACCUGAUAAAUACUAAUGUAUUCUUCUGUAAGUACUAAUACUAAUACUAAACCUUAAUGGCAAUUUUAAGUGGUCUUAUGGUAAACUUCCUGACACUCCACAUGCAAAAGAAAACUGGAAUCUUCAAGAUACGUUUGAGAAAGCAGGCAGAUAGUUUUUAAAACCAUAUGGAAUCUUAACAUCUAAAAACCUCUUGCCCAACUUACAAUCUUACCACUAAUUUAGAAAAGUUAAAGGCUUACAAAAGAAAAAUAAGUAAAGCACUUUCUUUACCCUGUAUU